UUUUUAAGUUACGCAUCGGUUCAAUCUCAGUAUAUUAGGGCUUUUUCUUAUUCUUCUUCGACUCUUUACCUUUACCGUGUGCGUUCAGUUUCUCUGCAAGUUUCAAAAUUUAUUCUUCAAACUCUUAAUCUUCCCAUAAUUUAACUCAGAAGCCAUGUUGACCACUAUGUUUCCUUAAAAUCAAACCUAUAAAAUGGAGAGGAUUGAGGGUUGAUUGAUACCAUUUCACUCUAUAAAGUCUAUUCACAACUUGACUCGAAUCACUUCUGCAGCUGAUUCUUUUGUUAGCCGCAGCCAUGGUGAAGUACUCUGAAGAACCUGUAACCAGACCAAGUGUAGUGCAAAGCUCCUUCUCAGUACCAUUUCUCACUCUUUUGUAUUCAAUUUUGUUGAUUAUUUUUAAGUUUGAUUUUUUCAGUUUCCAAGGCUAGAUGAUCCGAUCUUAGGGUUCACGUCAAGUUCAUGACGUAACGUUUGAUGAUCUCCGCCUUGAUCGGUAUCUCAGGUGGUUGUUGGCCGGCUCCUUUGUUUCUGUGAUUUAGGAAACAUCACGAAGAAUGGAAAGUUCAUGGGUAUUACCCUCAUGCUUCUAGAUGAAAAGGUCAGAACAUCAUCACCCUCACAUAAUCGUUUUAUUAGUUUAGCCUUUCUCAACGUAGUUAACGGUUAACAGUUCUAUUCAUAUCUCUGCCUUUAAGCCAUGACUCAACAGAAACUCUUGCAGCGCAAGUAACUUCUUCCCCAAUUUUGCUUUGACCCGUCCAUUCUGCUGUGCAAUUCUUUUAGCACAAAAUUUGUUGGUGCAGUUACGGACGUUUUCCACGUGUUGGAGAGAUUGAAAAGAAAGAACUUUCCUCUAUUGGAGAUCUUCACACAUAUCUCUCCAAGUCAACCGACAAGACCCCGCUAAUUUACUGUGUAGAGCUCCGAACGGUAUACUCCAGCCAAAUGGAUGGUCUUAUGUGUCUGCACCAGCAAUGCAACAAAUGUGUAUCACCCAACGUGACCUCUGUUAUGAGGGUCAGCUUACACAUGCUUAUUCUCUCUGUAACACAUUCCACUUUCACACACAAAUCCAACUCAUCAAAUUGCUUCUUGGGUACCGGUUGAGCUAGCUGUCUAUGGCGAAGACAUUGCUAUUUUAUGGUGUUUAACACUCAGAUGACAAAACUCACCAAGGUGGAUCACUAGCUGUCGUUGUGAUGCGGUAAAAAGCACGAGAUCACAUUUCUUAUCAGAUAAGUUUCAGUUUUUAGAAGCAACUUUGCUCUAUGAAGCCUUUGACAUAAAUUAUUUUCUUUCGCUGCAUCUUCAUAGAGGAAAGAUUUUAUUGUAUCAUCAGAAAAUAAUGUCAAUCCUGUCUUAUUCACAAUUAAUAAGUGUAAAGGUUGCUUCAUCCUAUUAGUGUCCCUAAACAUCCAUAUUAAGUUGUGUUUAAGUUUCUCAGGGACCUGCUUCUAUUGGUGUUCGGCUUUACCAGAGAAAAAGAGAUGAAUAGAAUUUCUUGAGAACUCGGAAGUGCAUUCUUGAGAACUCGCAUCACAAAGCUCUACACAUUACCACUAAAGGUUUCAAAAGCAGUGAGAUUCUUCAGGUGGAGGGUUGGUUUGGACGCAGAUUGGGAGUUGCAGUGGCUAUGGCCUUUACAUGGAUUGAGACUAUGGCUGGAAUUCAGAAGAAAAAAGGUGUUGAUUGCAGAUCUUCACACCUACAUAUCCAAGUCCAGUGACAAUGUGUAUAAUUUUGUAUUACUACCAAGCUAUUUAAAUAAAAAUGUCCCUACUAAUAUUUC